AUAAAUAUGUAUAAUAAUAUAUAAAAAGUAAUAGUUAAUUUUUAUUUCUAAAUAGCAUAAAAAUAAAAUUUAUGCCAAUGAACAAAAUAGAGAAGUAAUUUGCAAGGUCUUAAAAAUAUUUAUUCAAUUUUAAUUACACUUUGUCAGUCAUUUGGAAAAAUUCUCUAGUUUUUUUUUUAUGAAUAUAAAAAUGUCGUUAUUUUUUUUUAUGUUACUCGUGUCGUCAUAGUUAUUGAUUGAAGGUAGAGAUGGACCCUUAUUGUUCAAUUGUUUAUUUGUAAAUGUAUACAAUGCUAUUCAUAUAUUAUUAUAUCUCACGAGUAUUCUAGGUCUAGGUUUUCAUGCCCUUUUGUUCUUAAAUACCCCUCCCCUUUGAUCGAAAGUUUAUUUGGGUCACAUAAUUUUUUUUUUUCGCAACAGAUUUUUAGAUAUAUAUAAAAAUAUUUUAUUAUCACUUUGGCCCUUUAGGAAUUGAGAAAAAAUGGAUUUAAAAAAAAAACGUAGGAAAUAAUUGCAAAAACUGUAAUUUGGUAAUUUUAUUUUAGUAUCUAUGAAAAAAAAAAAUAUAUAUAUAUAUAAGCAAUUUGAUGAGGUGUGAACUGAUGGCAAAUGCAAUGUUACUAAUGAAAGUUCGAUGAGUCGUCGACAUGAUGGAUUUGAUGAGAGAGAGAGAGAGAGAGAGAGAAAGAGUACAUGGUACAUUGAGCGAUAUGAGCUUCUGAGGUUGCUAUUUUUUUUCACGGACGUACGCCCCUCCUUUUGCCUCGUUAGUCAGGCACAGACGAAAUUAGAGCAUCGGUGAGAGAGUAACAAUUUUCAAACGGGUAUCGAUUUUCCGACCGAUUUGUCCGCAAAAAACCCAUGAGCCCGAGGUGUAAUCGCCGCAGUUCAUUUGUUCUUUAUAGUGUAAGAAAAUCUUCUCUUGUCUAUGAUUAAAAAAGUGAAAAGGAAUAUUUUUUACCUCUCUUUCUCUCUCUCCCUAUAUAUAUACUUUGAAGUUGCGAUGGACAAAAAAUAUAAUCCACAUUUUGAAAAAUAGAAAUUGUAUCGAGUGAUUAAUUUUUUUUUCUUUGAUUUCAAAAAAUUAUAUCAAAAAAAUUUUGUAUAAACUUUCCCUUCGAAUCAAAUAAUAUUUCUGCGCGAAAGAGAAUAAUUUUUUUUAUUAUUAUUUAAAAUUUUUUUUGCCUCUCAAUUUGAGAUUAUACUUUUUUUAUAAAUUGGAUUAUAAAAAAAAACUUGAUUCAAAUAAUUGGUUAUUUGACUAUUAUUAAGGGGGGAACACCAGUUGUAACUUUCGAAAAAUCAAUUUUUUUUUUUGUGCAUUUUCUUAAAGUACACAUAUUUAGAAAUGUGUCUGUAAAUUUCAAAGUUGAUCCGGUGAAAAAUAAAUGAGAUAUACAGAACACUGCAUCGGCGCGUCCCGUGGCUUCAUACAAGGUGGCCAGCCAUAACUGACCCUAACGACAGAUGGCCUUUUCCUAUGAUUUAGAAACGGCAACCACUGCGGAAGAGUUAUUAUAUGGUCCAAGAAUCGAUGACUCUUUGUAACUUGGAAACAAAAUUUCUUCUGAACAAAAAAAAACGAAGUAUACUUGCAGAAUGCUGGUCACCGCAAUUCGCCUUUUUUCUUAAGACGCCACUUCAAUGGCUCAUAUCUCCAAAAGUUUUUGUUAAAAAAAUUUUUUUUUUCUUUUAAAUUACAGCUUUUUACAUGUACUUUUAACUAAUAAAUAGUAUUCUUUAAAAAGA